rnacentral:rRNA from 1 species
UACGGGGGGGGCAAGCGUUGUUCGGAAUUACUGGGCGUAAAGGGCUUGUAGGUGGCCAAGUAAGUCAGACGUGAAAUCCCUCGGCUUAACCGGGGAACUGCGUCUGAUACUGGAUGGCUGGAGUGUGGGAGAGGGAUGCGGAAUUCCAGGUGUAGCGGUGAAAUGCGUAGAUAUCUGGAAGAACACCAGUGGCGAAGGCGGCUCACUGGUCCGGUACUGACGCUGAGGUGCGAAAGCGUGGGGAGCAAACAGG